UCAUAUCGGAACGUACCCUAUCGUGGGGGAUAACGAAUCGAAAGAUUCGCUAAUACCGCAUACGACCUGAGGGUGAAAGCGGGGGAUCGCAAGACCUCGCGCGACAGGAGCGGCCGAUAUCGGAUUAGCUAGUUGGUGAGGUAAAAGCUCACCUAGGCGACGAUCCGUAGCUGGUCUGAGAGGACGACAGCCACACUGGGACUGAGACACGGCCCAGACUCCUACGGGAGGCAGCAGUGGGGAAUUUUGGACAAUGGGGGAAACCCUGAUCCAGCCAUUCCGCGUGAGUGAAGAAGGCCUUCGGGUUGUAAAGCUCUUUCGGCAGGAACGAAAAGGUGCGGGCUAAUACCCUGUAUCAAUGACGGUACCUGAAGAAGAAGCACCGGCUAACUACGUGCCAGCAGCCGCGGUAAUACGUAGGGUGCGAGCGUUAAUCGGAAUUACUGGGCGUAAAGCGUGCGCAGGCGGUUUUGUAAGACAGAUGUGAAAUCCCCGGGCUUAACCUGGGAACUGCGUUUGUGACUGCAAGACUUGAGUGCGGCAGAGGGGGGUGGAAUUCCACGUGUAGCAGUGAAAUGCGUAGAGAUGUGGAGGAACACCGAUGGCGAAGGCAGCCCCCUGGGUCGACACUGACGCUCAUGCACGAAAGCGUGGGUAGCAAACAGGAUUAGAUACCCUGGUAGUCCACGCCCUAAACGAUGCCAACUAGGUGUUGGGGAAGGAGACUUCCUUAGUACCGUAGCUAACGCGUGAAGUUGGCCGCCUGGGGAGUACGGUCGCAAGAUUAAAACUCAAAGGAAUUGACGGGGACCCGCACAAGCGGUGGAUGAUGUGGAUUAAUUCGAUGCAACGCGAAAAACCUUACCUACCCUUGACAUGCCAGGAAUCCCGGAGAGAUUUGGGAGUGCUCGAAAGAGAGCCUGGACACAGGUGCUGCAUGGCUGUCGUCAGCUCGUGUCGUGAGAUGUUGGGUUAAGUCCCGCAACGAGCGCAACCCUUGUCAUUAGUUGCCAUCAUUUAGUUGGGCACUCUAAUGAGACUGCCGGUGACAAACCGGAGGAAGGUGGGGAUGACGUCAAGUCCUCAUGGCCCUUAUGGGUAGGGCUUCACACGUCAUACAAUGGUCGGUACAGAGGGUUGCCAAGCCGCGAGGUGGAGCCAAUCCCAGAAAGCCGAUCGUAGUCCGGAUCGGAGUCUGCAACUCGACUCCGUGAAGUCGGAAUCGCUAGUAAUCGUGGAUCAGCAUGUCACGGUGAAUACGUUCCCGGGUCUUGUACACACCGCCCGUCACACCAUGGGAGUGGGUUUCACCAGAAGUAGGUAGCCUAACCGCAAGGAGGGCGCUUACCACGGUGGGAUUCAUGACUGGGGUGAAGUCGUAACAAGGUA
rnacentral:rRNA from 1 species